rnacentral:rRNA from 1 species
GACGAACGCUGGCGGCGUGCUUAACACAUGCAAGUCGAACGGAAAGGCCCUUCGGGGUGCUCGAGUGGCGAACGGGUGAGUAACACGUGGGUGAUCUGCCCUGCACUUUGGGAUAAGCCUGGGAAACUGGGUCUAAUACCGAAUAUGAUCAUCGGCUUCAUGGUCGGUGGUGGAAAGCUUUUGCGGUGUGGGAUGGGCCCGCGGCCUAUCAGCUUGUUGGUGGGGUAAUGGCCUACCAAGGCGACGACGGGUAGCCGGCCUGGGAGGGUGACCGGCCACACUGGGACUGAGAUACGGCCCAGACUCCUACGGGAGGCAGCAGUGGGGAAUAUUGCACAAUGGGCGCAAGCCUGAUGCAGCGACGCCGCGUGAGGGAUGACGGCCUUCGGGUUGUAAACCUCUUUCAGCACAGACGAAGCGCAAGUGACGGUAUGUGCAGAAGAAGGACCGGCCAACUACGUGCCAGCCGCCGCUGUAA